rnacentral:tRNA from 1 species
GGGCCCUUAGCUCAGUUGGUUAGAGCAACUGACUUUUAAUCAGUAGGUCCUGAGUUCGAAUCUCAGAGGGCUCA